rnacentral:rRNA from 1 species
CCUGCCUCAUACAGGGGGAUAACAGUUAGAAAUGACUGCUAAUACCGCAUAAGACCACGGAGUCGCAUGACUCAGUGGGAAAAACUCCGGUGGUAUGAGAUGGACCCGCGUCUGAUUAGGUAGUUGGUGGGGUAACGGCCUACCAAGCCGACGAUCAGUAGCCGACCUGAGAGGGUGACCGGCCACAUUGGGACUGAGACACGGCCCAAACUCCUACGGGAGGCAGCAGUGGGGAAUAUUGCACAAUGGGGGAAACCCUGAUGCAGCGACGCCGCGUGAGCGAAGAAGUAUUUCGGUAUGUAAAGCUCUAUCAGCAGGGAAGAAAAUGACGGUACCUGACUAAGAAGCACCGGCUAAAUACGUGCCAGCAGCCGCGGUAAUACGUAUGGUGCAAGCGUUAUCCGGAUUUACUGGGUGUAAAGGGAGCGUAAACGGCUGUGUAAGUCUGAAGUGAAAGCCCGGGGCUCAACCCCGGGACUGCUUUGGAAACUAUGCAGCUAGAGUGUCGGAGAGGUAAGUGGAAUUCCCAGUGUAGCGGUGAAAUGCGUAAAUAUUGGGAGGAACACCAGUGGCGAAGGCGGCUUACUGGACGAUGACUGACGUUGAGGCUCGAAAGCGUGGGGAGCAAACAGGAUUAAAUACCCUGGUAGUCCACGCCGUAAACGAUGAGUGCUA